UUCCGGUUGAUCCUGCCGGACCCUACUGCUAUCGGGAUGGGACUAAGACAUGCUAGUCGUGCGCCUCCAAGCCAUGGUGGAGGCGCGGCGCACAGCUCAGUAACACGUGGUUAACCUGCCCUUGGGACGGAAACACCCCCGGGAAACUGGGGCUAAUUUCCGGUAGGUGAAGGCUCCUGGAAUGGAUCUUCGCCUAAAGGGCGCUUAGGCCAUGCUUCUAGGCGCUGCCCAAGGAUGGGGCCGCGGCCGAUCAGGUUGUUGGUGAGGUAAUGGCUCACCAAGCCUUUAACCGGUUCGGGCCGUGGGAGCGGGAGCCCGGAGAUGGGCACUGAGACAGGGCCCCAGGCCCUACGGGGCGCAGCAGUCGCGAAAACUCCGCAAAUACGCGAGGCGGUGACGGGGCUAUCCCGAGUGCCGUCCGCUGAGGAUGGCUUUUCCCUAGUGUAGAUAGCUGGGGGAAUAAGGAGAGGGCAAGUCUGGUGUCAGCCGCCGCGGUAAUACCAGCUCUCCGAGUGGUGGGGACGUUUAUUGGGCCUGAAGCAUCCGUAGCCAGCUGAGCAAGUCCCCAGUUAAAUCCAGCGAUUUAAUCGUUGGACUGCUGGGGAUACUGUCCGGCUAGGGGGUGGGAGAGGCCGACGGUAUUCCCGGGGUAGGGGUGAAAUCCUAUAAUCCCGGGAGGACCACCAGUGGCGAAGGCUGUUGGCUAAAACAUGCCCGACGGUGAGGGAUGAAAGCUGGGGGAGCGAACCGGAUUAGAUACCCGGGUAGUCCCAGCUGUAAACGAUGCAGGCUAGGUGUUAGGGCGGCCACGUGCCGCUCUAGUGACGCAGGGAAGCUGUUAAGCCUGCCGCCUGGGGAGUACGCCCGCAAGGCUGAAACUUAAAGGAAUUGGCGGGA
rnacentral:rRNA from 1 species